UUAAAACAAUAUAAUUCUAUUUUUGGCCUAUUACAUUACCACAAAUAUUAAUUUUAUCUAGUGCUGGCAAGUAAUAGAUAAAUGGACAACUCAUAUAUGGUAGUGGGACUCUAAAUUAGUUCAAAUUUUUGGCAAAAUCCCUCUGAUCUAGCAAUCCCACUUUUAGAAAUUCAUUCUAAGAAAAUGAUCAAACUAUGCAAAGAUUAUGCAUAAGGAUGAACACGUAAGUCAACCUUAGCAAGACAGACACAAUUCAAGUCUCUGUAAGGGUUUGGUAAACUAAAUUAUGGUAUACACAUCAGGUAGAAUAUUAUGCAGUCAUAAAGCAAUGUAGAUUUAUAUUUACUGACAUAGAAAGUUGUCCAUGAUGCAUUGACGAACAAGGUAGCAAGUUGACAUACAGGAAAUAUAUAGCAGUGUUAUUUUAGUCGGUGUGUCUGUGUAGAGGAAAAAUUGCAGGGAAGGGUGGGACUCAUGCAACGUUAAAACAGUUCAGUCUGGAAUGUGACAACCAAUUGUCUUCACUGUCCUCAUUUUGGUUUUCUAUUUCUUCAAUAAUUUAAAAAAUACGUAACUUAAGAGAAGAGAAAAUAACUUACAAUGUUUUGAAAUUGAUUGAAACCCUGAGAUCUGCAGUAUGCUCUGUGGAUCAUAGAUCAGAAAGAAGAUCUGGGAAAGAAGUUGAGUAAAAAUAAGAAUGCAAUUUUCUAUGGAAACAACGUCUCCAAACCCUGAAAUUACUGCUUAGAUUGGAUCUACAGUCAUGAAAACAGCCUCCGUGCUUCGAGAAAGCUGCAAAAACUUAAGAAGGAAAAUGGCUCAAGAUAGACAUUUAUUGGAUUAGAUCUUGCCACUACUUUAAGCAAAAAAAUGAUUCUGUUUCCACGGUAACGUAAGUCUCAGCUGCGUUUCCUCAGUGGUGAAGGACAACUGCUCUGUCUACCACGUGUGGGUCUGAAGGGAUGAUUAGGAGUGGAGGGGGAGUGAGCCAAGACCAGCGAAGCUCUUCUUUACUUCCAGACCCUCACGCCCAUCCCCAAGCUGUACCACACCAAAUGAGAGGGCUUGAUUAUUUUGAGCCCCCUGCAAGAUGAACUUCCCCUGCAGAGAUUCCUGCUUUUCUCCGUCUACACAAGGACCCCCAUUGGUCACAAGAUGCAUGCUGUUUGGCCUGUGCCCCACUUUCUCUGCUCGUAUCUAGUUAUCUGCCUGCUCUAACAAUAACAGAAGAGUUGUUUGAAGAAUAUGUAAAGUAUUUAUAUCAAUAAGAGUGAGUGGAGCUGUGAGCUGGAAGAAGCUUUAUCCCAGAGAACUUAGUGGAGCAGAGCUGCCAUUCAGAAUUCGAGAUGAGAAUAAACAUACCGAUUACUUGCAUGGCCGGUUCCACGUCUGUUGUGGCCUCUUCCAGCAAUGACAGCAGCUUGGCUGAUAUCUGAUGCACAGAUUCAAUGUUGCUAAACAAGCUAUCCACGUCCAGCCGAUCAAUCUGAAGAUACAAAAAGUGAGCACCAGCGGAUGAAGAGAGACACAUAGUAUUUAACAUGUUUCUCCUGCUAAACAGUAUUGUCUCAUCCACCUUGGAUGCCAUAGGUCACACAUGUCACACAGAAUGGCUGCCAUCACUGAAAUACCCCACUACUAACCUCGACUCGCAUGCUAAAGCUGGGGGCAUCAUUUUCCAUCUGGGGGCUCUGCAUCUGGGGAGAGCUUGAUACUGUUCUCCUCAAAUUUAUGGCCCCUCAAUAAAGAAAAGAAAAUAUUUUCUAUUUAAGUUAAUAUUUGUUAUUUGUGGUUUAAAAUAAAACAUGAAAAAAUAUAUUCUUCAGGGGGAAGAGGUUCCCUAAGGGUUUAUGUGGUAUGAUUACAAUUUCACAAAAUAUUUGGGUGUGUCUGUAUAUGCCUAGACAUUAACCAAAAUAUUUAUCAUGCUUAUUUCUACCUGAUACAGCUAUAGGUGAUUAUAUUUCAUCUAUGUAUUUUUCUAAGAAAAAUUAUUUACAAAAUUGCAGCCAGAAAGGGUACCCAAAUCUUAACAGAAAAUUCCAAUUGAGCUCUUGUCAAUACAAGAUUAUUGGCCCUUUUUUUCAGAAAACACAAAAAGGCAACUAUAAUUAGAUCAAGUAUGAGAAAAUCUAAAAUAAAUACAUAUAACUCUCUUAUUGUGUAAAUAAAAAUCAACUUAGUGUGUAUUCAAACAUAUACACUUGUGAAUAGAAUACCCUUGGAAGGGUAAAAAGAAGCUGGUAAUGGUGUUUGCCUCUGGAAAAGGAAACUGAGUAGCUGUAAGACAUUAUCGGGCCCUUCAGAUCUUUGGUAUUUUUGUAUUAUGUGAAUUUUACAAGUUCAAAAACUAAUUAAAACAAAGGAAAAUUAAACAUGUAUUUAAACUCCUCUAUUCUUUUCAAUCACUUUUUGGUCCUUUCCUUACACAUAAAACCAUUUUCUAUUGUUAGGUUAAUUUGCUCUGGUUUUGAUUUAUUUUGAUUUACUUCCAAAAAUGUAGAUAGAGUCUCUCCUAUAGCCAGCCCUAUAUGGAUAAUAAAUAACUAAAAGCAGUUUUCCCACUAAAUGUCUCAACACUGAAUGAUGUGGAUAAUUUUUGCCUUCUUUGCAAAACCUCUUCCAAUGCUGCCACUAAAAAAGAUGUAGCUGCUAGGUUUGACCCUGCUUUCAGUAAGGUGAAAUUUUGUUUAUUGAAGAGCCUUGAAGUUACGAUCAAGGUUGGAACCACAAUUAUCACAUAACAGUUGUCAGUUAAGGGCUAGGUGUAGACUUUGAUUUGCACUCUGAUUCAUCCAUGCAAGUUCACUCAGAACAGCAAAGAGCUUUUUUCAGUUUUCAACUUUCUUCUGUAAACUGACUCAUCCUUCAGGAACUUAAAAGACAUGGAUCAGAUGCAGAGAGAGAAGAUAUGGAGGCAGUCCAACACAACAAAGACAGUCUUCUCAACAAGAGCAAAGACCUGGAUCAGAU